GAAGAAUGCGGCUGCUCAAGAGUCUACAAGAACUCGUAAAUGUAAUCCUACAAAAAACAUCAGGGCUACGCACGGCAGGCUGAUGGGAGUAGAAUUCAACCCAAAGAACCCUUUCUAACUCAUCCGGCCUUUAAUCUCACUUCAAGUGAAAAAGAAAUCUCAACAUGACCAAGGAAUAUCCUGAGCCACAUAUUCAACCAUGUGCGGGAGAAUAAAGCCUUCAUCGUCUACUAAAUAAAAAUUCUGAGUAAUGAACACCUGGCUACACUAUGAGUCAACAGUAAUUCCUGCAACA